rnacentral:rRNA from 1 species
UUAUUCCUACGGGGGGCAGCAGUGAGGAAUAUUGGUCAAUGGACGCAAGUCUGAACCAGCCAUGCCGCGUGCAGGAUGACGGCUCUAUGAGUUGUAAACUGCUUUUGUACGAGGGUAAACCCCGAUACGUGUAUCGGGUUGAAAGUAUCGUACGAAUAAGGAUCGGCUAACUCCGUGCCAGCAGCCGCGGUAAUACGGAGGAUCCGAGCGUUAUCCGGAUUUAUUGGGUUUAAAGGGUGCGCAGGCGGCGAGUUAAGUCAGCGGUAAAAUUUCGGGGCUCAACCCCGACGAGCCGUUGAAACUGG